ACAUAGGGUGCAAGCGUUGUCCGGAUUUAUUGGGCGUAAAGAGUUCGUAGGCGGUUUUUCGCGUCGGAUGUGAAAACUCAGGGCUCAACCCUGAGCCUGCAUUCGAUACGGGAAGACUCGAGGACGGCAGGGGAGACUGGAACUUCUGGUGUAGCGGUGGAAUGCGCAGAUAUCAGAAAGAACACCAAUGGCGAAGGCAGGUCUCUGGGCCGAUCCUGACGCUGAGGAACGAAAGCGUGGGGAGCAAACAGGAUUAGAUACCCUGGUAGUCCACGCCGUAAACGGUGGGCGCUAGUUGUGCGAACCUUCCACGGUUUGUGCGACGCAGCUAACGCAUUAAGCGCCCCGCCUGGGGAGUACGAUCGCAAGAUUA
rnacentral:rRNA from 1 species